rnacentral:rRNA from 1 species
GACGAACGCUGGCGGCGUGCUUAACACAUGCAAGUCGAACGGAAAGGCCCCCACCUUGGUGGGGGUGCUCGAGGGGCGAACGGGUGAGUAACACGUGGGUGAUCCGCCCUGUACUGCGGGAUAAGCUUGGGAAACUGGCUCUAAUACCGGAUAGGACCCUGGUUCAGGGUCUCAGGGGGGAAAAAUCAGUGUUUUGGUGCAGGAUGAGCGCGGGGCCUAUCGGCUUGGUGGUGGGGUAAUGGCCUGCCAGGGCGGGGGCGGGUAACCGGCCUGAGGGGUAGGCCGCCCACGUGGGGGAUGGGACACGUCCCAGAUGCGUUCGGGAGGAGGCGGUGGGGAAGGGUGCACGAGGGGCGCAAGCCUGAUGCAGCGACGCCGCGUGGGAGAUGACGGCCUUCGGGGAGUAAAGUCCUUGCGUUAGAGACGAAGCCAGACCUUUUCUGGGUGUGGGUACCGUUCCUUUGUUAAGAAGCACCGGCUAACUACGUG